CACGCCCUAAACGAUGCGAACUGGAUGUUGUGAGCAAUUAGGCUCUCAGUAUCGAAGCUAACGCGUUAAGUUCGCCGCCUGGGGAGUACGGUCGCAAGACUGAAACUCAAAGGAAUUGACGGGGGCCCGCACAAGCGGUGGAGUAUGUGGUUUAAUUCGAUGCAACGCGAAGAACCUUACCUGGCCUUGACAUGUCCGGAAUCCUGCAGAGAUGCGGGAGUGCCUUCGGGAAUCGGAACACAGGUGC
rnacentral:rRNA from 1 species